AUAAAGAAUAAUUAGUGGCAGACGGGUGAGUAACGCAUAGGAAUCUACCUAGUAGUAUGGGAUAGCCACUAGAAAUGGUGGGUAAUACUGUAUAAUCCCUGCGGGGGAAAGAUUUAUCGCUAUUAGAUGAGCCUAUGUUAGAUUAGCUAGUUGGUAGGGUAAAGGCCUACCAAGGCGAUGAUCUAUAGCUGGUCUGAGAGGAUGAUCAGCCACACUGGAACUGAGAUACGGUCCAGACUCCUACGGGAGGCAGCAGUGGGGAAUAUUGGACAAUGGGCGCAAGCCUGAUCCAGCUAUGCCGCGUGAGUGAGGAAGGCCUUAGGGUUGUAAAACUCUUUCAGUAGGGAAGAUAAUGACGGUACCUACAGAAGAAGUCCCGGCAAACUCCGUGCCAGCAGCCGCGGUAAUACGGAGGGGGCAAGCGUUGUUCGGAAUUAUUGGGCGUAAAGGGCAUGUAGGCGGUUCGGUAAGUUAAAGGUGAAAUGCCAGGGCUUAAC
rnacentral:rRNA from 1 species